CUUUCUUAUAAUUAUAUUUUAAAUGAUCAAUUCAUAUUUUUAAAAAUAUUUUAUUAUUUGCUUUCAGAAUGAAUGUUUAGUUUCCAUUUUACCGAUUUCUUCUUCACAGUUUCUGUAUCUUCUUUUCAAUAAGAUAGGUACAGUUGGUGUCUACGAUUCUUCAUUUUUAUGCCAGAAGACAUACAAUAUUGAUAUUCAGCGAAAGUACAAUAAUCACAGAUGGAAAGGAAAGAGAGGAACUGUAACGGAUGUUGUACUGAUGGAAAAUUGUACAUUUUACGUUAUAGCUACAACAAAUCGUUGUCUUCAUUUCGUAGACAUUUCUGCUAGUUUUCAUUUAGAAUCUUACGUUGUAACAGAUUUGUCAUAUAUUCCUUCAUGCUUAUUUUACUGUUAUGAUAGAG